AGAGUUUGAUCAUGGCUCAGGACGAACGCUGGCGGCGUGCUUAAUACAUGCAAGUCGAGCGAGGUUAUCUUUUCAAAGCCCUUCGGGGUGGCGAAUUUUUAACCUAGCGGCGGACGGGUGAGUAACGCGUGGGUAAUCUGCCCUAAAGCCCGGGAUAACAGCGGGAAACUGCUGCUAAUACCGGAUAGCUUUAUCUGGAGGCAUCUUCGGAUAAGGAAACGUAAGGCUUUAGGAUGAGCCCGCGUCCCAUUAGCUAGUUGGUGAGGUAACGGCCCACCAAGGCGACGAUGGGUAGCCGGCCUGAGAGGGUGAACGGCCACACUGGGACUGAGACACGGCCCAGACUCCUACGGGAGGCAGCAGUAGGGAAUAUUGCGCAAUGGAGGGAACUCUGACGCAGCGACGCCGCGUGAGCGAUGAAGGUCUUCGGAUCGUAAAGCUCUGUCCUUGGGGAAGAAGGUCUUCGGACUUGACGGUACCUAAGGAGGAAGCCCCGGCUAACUACGUGCCAGCAGCCGCGGUAAUACGUAGGGGGCAAGCGUUGUCCGGAAUUAUUGGGCGUAAAGGGUGCGUAGGCGGCCUUUUAAGUCAGAUGUGAAAGCCCACGGCUUAACCGUGGGACUGCAUUUGAAACUGGAGGGCUUGAGUAUCGGAGAGGGUAGUGGAAUUCCCAGUGUAGCGGUGGAAUGCGUAGAUAUUGGGAGGAACACCAGUGGCGAAGGCGACUACCUGGACGAAAACUGACGCUGAGGCACGAAAGCUAGGGGAGCAAACAGGAUUAGAUACCCUGGUAGUCCUAGCCGUAAACGAUGUCUAAGGACUUGCUAGUGACACACUGAAAGAAGGUUGGGCAGC
rnacentral:rRNA from 1 species